rnacentral:rRNA from 1 species
UCAGGCCUAACACAUGCAAGUCGAGCGGGGUUUUCGGACCUAGCGGCGGACGGGUGAGUAAUGCGUAGGAAGCUACCCGAUAGAGGGGGAUACCAGUUGGAAACGACUGUUAAUACCGCAUAAUGUCUACGGACCAAAGUGUGGGACCUUCGGGCCACAUGCUAUCGGAUGCGCCUACGUGGGAUUAGCUAGUUGGUGAGGUAAUGGCUCACCAAGGCGACGAUCUCUAGCUGGUUUGAGAGGAUGAUCAGCCACACUGGAAGUGAGACACGGUCCAGACUCCUACGGGAGGCAGCAGUGGGGAAUAUUGGACAAUGGGCGCAAGCCCGAUCCAAAGAUGCCGCGUGUGUGAAGAA